rnacentral:rRNA from 1 species
UACAGAGGUCCCGAGCGUUGUUCGGAUUCAUUGGGCGUAAAGGGUGCGUAGGUGGCGCUGUAAGUGGGGUGUGAAAUCCCGGGGCUUAACUCCGGAACUGCAUUCGAUACUGCCGUGCUUGAGGACUGGAGAGGAGACUGGAAUUUACGGUGUAGCGGUGAAAUGCGUAGAUAUCGUAAGGAAGACCAGUGGCGAAGGCGGGUCUCUGGACAGUUCCUGACGCUGAGGCACGAAGGCCAGGGGAGCAAACGGG